rnacentral:rRNA from 1 species
UACGUAGGGUGCAAGCGUUGUCCGGAAUUAUUGGGCGUAAAGAGCUCGUAGGCGGUUUGUUGCGUCGGCUGUGAAAUCCCGAGGCUCAACCUCGGGUCUGCAGUCGAUACGAGCAAACUAGAGUGUUGCAGGGGAGACUGGAAUUCCUGGUGUAGCGGUGAAAUGCGCAGAUAUCAGGAGGAACACCGGUGGCGAAGGCGGGUCUCUGGGCAACAACUGACGCUGGAGGCGCGAAAGCGUGGGAGCAAACAGG